rnacentral:misc_RNA from 1 species
GUGAAUCAUCGAAUUUUUGAACGCAAAUUGCACUCUCCGGUUUUCCGGGAGCCUAUGCCUGUUUGAGGUCCAUCCUAACUAAAAUCGGCCUAGUAGUUUGCUGUGUUUUUCACGGUAACUUUGGUCGGAAUCUGGGUCAUCUUAUACCGAAAGGUUUUUAAGCGCCUUAAAAUUUUCUUUACGAUCUCCCGAACGUUUCUACGCUUCUCUUGCACGUUCAAGGUA